rnacentral:rRNA from 1 species
AGUGAACGCUGGCGGUAGGCCUAACACAUGCAAGUCGAACGGCAGCACAGUAAGAGCUUGCUCUUACGGGUGGCGAGUGGCGGACGGGUGAGGAAUACAUCGGAAUCUACUUUUUCGUGGGGGAUAACGUAGGGAAACUUACGCUAAUACCGCAUACGACCUACGGGUGAAAGCAGGGGAUCUUCGGACCUUGCGCGAUUGAAUUAGCCGAUGUCGGAUUAGCUAGUUGGCGGGGUAAAUGCCCACCAAGGCGACGAUCCGUAGCUGGUCUGAGAGGAUGAUAAGCGACACUGGAACUGAGACACGGUCCAGACUACUACGGGAGGCAGCAGUGGGGAAUAGUGGACAAUGGGCGCAAGCCUGAUCCAGCCAUACCGCGUGGGUGAAGAAGGCCUUCGGGUUGUAAAGCCCUUUUGUUGGGAAAGAAAAGCAGCAGGUUAAUACCCCGCUGUUCUGACGGUACCCAAAGAAUAAGCACCGGCUAACUUCGUG